GCUCGGGUGGUGGAAUGGUAGACACAAAAGACUUAAAAUCUUUUGGGGAGUAAUCCCCGUGCGGGUUCGAGUCCCGCCCCGAGCA
rnacentral:tRNA from 2 species